CCUACGGGUGGCAGCAGUCGAGAAUCAUUCACAAUGGGGGAAACCCUGAUGGUGCGACGCCGCGUGGGGGAAUGAAGGUCUUCGGAUUGUAAACCCCUGUCAUGUGGGAGCAAAUUAAAAAGAUAGUACCACAAGAGGAAGAGACGGCUAACUCUGUGCCAGCAGCCGCGGUAAUACAGAGGUCUCAAGCGUUGUUCGGAAUCACUGGGCGUAAAGGGUGCGUAGGCUGUUUCGUAAGUCGUGUGUGAAAGGCGCGGGCUCAACCCGCGGACGGCACCUGAUACUGCGAGACUAGAGUAAUGGAGGGGGAACCGGAAUUCUCGGUGUAGCAGUGAAAUGCGUAGAUAUCGGGAGGAACACUAGUGGCGAAGGCGGGUUCCUGGACAUUAACUGACGCUGAGGCACGAAGGCCAGGGGAGCGAAAGGGAUUAGAUACCCUAGUAGUC
rnacentral:rRNA from 1 species